UACGUAGGGGGCAAGCGUUGUCCGGAUUUAUUGGGCGUAAAGAGCGUGUAGGCGGCCAAGCAGGUCCGCUGUGAAAACUCGAGGCUCAACCUCGAGACGUCGGUGGAAACCGUUUGGCUAGAGUCCGGAAGAGGAGAGUGGAAUUCCCGGUGUAGCGGUGAAAUGCGCAGAUAUCGGGAAGAACACCAAUGGCGAAAGCGAGCUCUCUGGGACGGUACUGACGCUGAGACGCGAAAGCGUGGGGAGCGAACAGG
rnacentral:rRNA from 1 species